rnacentral:rRNA from 1 species
CGGGCUCUUCGGAGCCAGUGGCGGACGGGUGAGUAACGCGUGAGAAUCUGGCUUCAGGUUCGGGACAACAGUUGGAAACGGCUGCUAAUACCGGAUGUGCCUUAUGGUGAAAGAUUUAUCACCUGAAGAUGAGCUCGCGUCUGAUUAGCUAGUAGGUGUGGUAAGAGCGCACCUAGGCGACGAUCAGUAGCUGGUCUGAGAGGAUGAUCAGCCACACUGGGACUGAGACACGGCCCAGACUCCUACGGGAGGCAGCAGUGGGGAAUUUUCCGCAAUGGGCGAAAGCCUGACGGAGCAAUACCGCGUGAGGGAGGAAGGCUCUUGGGUUGUAAACCUCUUUUCUCAGGGAAGAAUGAUGACGGUACCUGAGGAAUAAGCAUCGGCUAACUCCGUGCCAGCAGCCGCGGUAAUACGGAGGAUGCAAGCGUUAUCCGGAAUGAUUGGGCGUAAAACGUCCGCAGGUGGCAAUGUAAGUCUGCUGUCAAAGCGUCUGGCUCAACCAGAUAAAGGCAGUGGAAACUACAUAGCUAGAGUAAGGUAGGGGUAGAGGGAAUUCCUGGUGUAGCGGUGAAAUGCGUAGAGAUCAGGAAGAACACCGGUGGCGAAAGCGCUCUGCUGGACCUUAACUGACACUGAGGGACGAAAGCUAGGGGAGCGAAUGGGAUUAGAUACCCCAG